AAUUUUCUUUUUUCUCAUGAAACUUCACUUUCAUGAAGUCUUCCAAAUAUCUUUAAGUCCUUUUUCCUUUUUGACUCAUUCUCUAAACACGCUCUUCUCAAAUCUUCUAGAAACAGACACUCAUACAAAACUGUAGCAUCCUGAAUUACUUCUUGAUUCAUUCAGCAAUUCCAUCAGACAAAAUCAUGUAUUACUUUUUGAAUCAUUCAGCAUCUCCAUCAGCAGCAACUACAUCUUCAUUCUCCCCCUUUUUAACUAUGUUUGUGAACUCAUCUGUUCUAACUCCAAAACAACAUCACCAAACACUUCAUCAUUCUCCCCCUGAAUGAGUCACAAUAUGGUCAAAAC
rnacentral:sRNA from 1 species